UACAGAGGGUGCAAGCGUUGUUCGGAAUUAUUGGGCGUAAAGCGCGUGUAGGCGGCUUUUUCAAGUCGGGUGUGAAAUCCCUCGGCUCAACCGAGGAAGUGCGCCCCGAAAACUGCAGAGCUUGAGUACCGGAGAGGAUGGCGGAAUUCCCCAAGUAGAGGUGAAAUUCGUAGAUAUGGGGAGGAACACCGGUGGCGAAGGCGGCCAUCUGGACGGAUACUGACGCUGAGACGCGAAAGCGUGGGGAGCAAACAGG
rnacentral:rRNA from 1 species